GGGCAUGUGACGCAGCGGUUAGCGUGUUCGCUUUGCAUUUAGCUUGCGAGAAGUCAAGGGUUCAAAUCCCUUCUUGUCCA